CCAGAAGGACGGAUGGCCGCUCCCGGCUUGUUCGGGGGAGGAAAGUCCGGGCUUCACGCAGAUACGGUGCCGGCUAAUGGCCGGGCAGGGCGACCUGACGGAUCAGUGCAACAGAAAGCAAACCGCCGAUGGCCGUAGCGAUACGGAUCAGGCAAGGGCGAAACGGUGGGGUAAGAGCCCACCACGGGACUGGCAACAGGACUGGUAAGGCAAACCCCACCGGAAGCAAGACCAAAUAGGGGCCGCGCAUAGGGCUUUCUGCGCCUUGUGGCCCGGGUUGGUUGCUUGAGGUGAUCGGUAACGAUCAUCCCAGAGGAAUGGUCAUCGCGCGGGUAACCGCGUACAGAACCCGGCUUACAGGAUUUCUGGCAUU
rnacentral:RNase_P_RNA from 1 species